AGCGUGGUAUCGUUAAAUGGAAAAUGCAGGGACAUUGACUUGCUAAUACUGCCGGGUCGGGCUAGCUACAUUUUAGCUAGCUAGCUAGCUACCAACCAUUAGCACGACGGUAGUCCUUAUUCCUGGCGUUACCCCGCAACAUUGUUUGUCGGGAUUCAUUGUGUUUCAGUGCUAUAUUUAUUGUUGCGAUGCAUGGUGUGCUACGUUUGCCUUUUACGUUUUAUAGGGUAGUGGGGAGACUAGUAAGCUAAAAUUAGCUGGCUAGGUUACGUAGCACCACAUAGCUAACGGAUUAUGGCGCCCCGUUUACAGUUGGAGAAAGCGGCUUGGCGUUGGGUGGAAACGGUAAAACCAGAAGAAAUCAGGCUGGAACAUAUCGAGCUAGCAUAUCGCGUCAAUCUCCCGGCCUGCAAGAGAGCAACCUGCAGGAGGAACUGCAAAGGGAAUCCCAACUGUCUUGUGGGGAUUGGUGAACAGGCGUGGCUUGGGGAUAUUGAUGAAAAUGCUUUCCACAAUAUCGAUGACCCAAAUUCAGAGCGUCGAGACAAGAACACAUUUGUUGGCCUGACAAACCUGGGUGCAACAUGUUACGUCAACACAUUCCUGCAAGUUUGGUUCCACAACCUGGAGCUGCGUAGGAGUCUCUAUCAGUGCCACAAUUCCCGAGCACAGGAACACAAUAUUGAGUCUGAUUACGAGCCUCAGUCCAUCUGUGAGCAUCUGCAGUAUCUGUUUGCCCUCCUGCAGAACAGCAACAGGAAGUACAUCGACCCUUCAGGGCUGGUCAAAGCACUGGGCCUGGACACAGGACAGCAGCAGGAUGCCCAGGAGUUUUCAAAGCUUUUCUUGUCUCUGUUGGAGGACACGCUGUCCAAGCAGAAGAGCCCCAACCUGCAGAAUGUCAUCCAGCGGCAAUUCUGUGGACAGUUCUCCUACGUUACUGUAUGUAACCAGUGUGGACGAUCAUCUGCGCUGCCGUCCCGAUUCUACGAGUUGGAGCUGAACAUCCAGGGCCACAAGAACCUCACAGAGUGUGUCACAGAGUUCCUGAAGGAAGAGAAGCUGGAUGGGGAGAACCGCUACUUCUGUGAGAGCUGUCAGAGUAAACAGAGCGCCACCCGAAGGAUCAAGCUGCACAACCUUCCUCCAACCCUCAACCUGCAGCUCAUGCGCUUUGUCUUUGAUAGACAAACAGGCCACAAGAAGAAGCUCAACACCUUUAUCAGUUUUCCAGAGCAGCUGGAUAUGGGGCCUUUCUUGGAAGGAAAAGAAGACCAGAAGUGUGUUUAUGAGCUGAGUGCGGUGCUCAUCCAUCGGGGCAUCAGUGCCUACUCGGGCCACUACAUCGCCCAUGUGAAGGACGCUCGCACCGGUGACUGGUACAAAUUCAAUGAUGAGGAAAUUGAGAAAAUGGAAGGCAAGAAGCUGCAGCUUGGCACUGAGGAGGACAUUGCUGAGACCGUCAAGUCCCAGGCACGAAAGCCAAAGUGCAGUAAAGGCUACCACUGCUCCAGAAAUGCCUACAUGCUGGUGUAUAAGGUCCAGGAAGAGGAGAAUGCAGAUCCCUCUAUGACCAAUGUCGAGGUGCCAGCCUUCCUUCAGAGGUUGGUGGACCAAGACAACCAUAAGUUUGAGGAGUGGUGCUGUGAGAUGGCCGACAUGAGAAAACAGAGCGUCGAUAAGGGCAAAGCCAAGCAUGAGGAGGUGAAGGAGCUCUACGAGCUUUUACCCGCAAAAGACGGCGAGCCAUAUGAGUUUAUUCCCCUGGACUGGUUGAAGAAGUGGCUAGAGGACUCCCCUUCCACAACAGAGAUCGACAAUUCCCUGUUCCUUUGUUCUCACGGCAAACUGCACCCAGACAAGGUGGCCGACUCCAAGAGGGUUUCCCUGCAAGCUGCUCAGCUCCUCUACGACCGCUACAGUGGAGGGCCGCGACUGGACGCUCGCUUGACUACCUCGUCGAAGUUGAGCCGGGGAGAAGGGGCCAACUUUGAACGCUGUGUGUUUACAAACAGCUCCUCUCUGUGUAGAGAGUGUGUUAGCCAGCGGUGCAGAGUGCUGCGGCUGAAGAACCAGCUCAACGAAGAUUUCAAGGAAAUCACCAACCUCGUCAAGCGCACGCUCAGUGGUGAGGGCUACUGGGUGAGCAAAUCAUCUCUGCGUAGCUGGAGGCAGUUGGCUUUAGAACAGCUGGAGGAGGACGAACACGAAACCAAACACAACAAUGGCCAGAUCAAUGGACAGGGACCACACAACAACAGCAAAGAGUUCGGCUCAGAGCUCUCAGAGGGCAACGAGGACGAGAUGAAGACUUUCAAUGAAGACAUUGUCUGCUGUCACGGGGGUCUGAGUAUUUUGGAGACUGAACGGAAGCUGGUUUCCUCUGAAGUUUGGACCAAGCUGAGGGAAUACUUUCCCAAAGCCCCAGAAUUCACCCAAAACAAAGAGUCCUGUCAGCAGUGCCUGACAUUAGAGCAGGAAGAAAAGGACAACGAGGCAGUGAGUAAGAUGAUGGCCCUGGACCAGAAGAACCAACUGCUCAACCUCUUUCAUGAGAAGAACCGGCCAACGCUCGCCAAGUGGCCUGAGGACACAGAUGUUCUUUACAUAGUCCCUCUGUAUUUUGUGGAUGAGUGGAGAAAAUUCAUCAGGAGGCCCACUAAAUCCUCCCCAGUGUCUAAUGUGGGCAACACUCUGCUACUCUGUCCCCACGGAGGCUUCAUGUUCACCUAUGACUCCCUCAUCAACGGAGACGCACAACAUGUAGCUCUGCUCUGGCCCAGCGAAUGGGAAGUGAUCAGCAGACUCUUCAUUGUGGACCAGCCAAUCUCCAUCCACUGCUUCAAACAGACCACACUAAGUGGUCCCACCACUCCAUACACUACUCAGCCUGAUCUCUGUUGGGAGUGCAGAGAGAGCUUCCUUUUCCAGCAGCAGAGGGAUCUCAGAGAGUAUACACAAGCAACCAUCUACAUCCGCAAAGUCCUUGAAGAUCAGAGGAUGAUAAAAGAAGCGGCUCCAGAACUGAACGCCAGCAGCUCUGAGGCAGAAGAGGAGAAGGAAGAACAUCCAAAAAUGGAUGGAGAGGGAGACCCAGACUUCAGCCAGUCACAAGAUGGUGCAAAGCGGAUUAAGUUGGAUGACAGCAGCACGGCAUCAGCAGCUGUACUUCCUGUGACCAACAUGACCAAACUAGGUGGAAUCAGGAGAAGCACUCGGCACAGGAAACUCCGAGGAGAGAAAGCACUCAUCGUUUCAGCUAAUCAGACACUUAAAGAGCUCAAAAUACAGAUUAUGCAUGCCUUCUCCGUGGCUCCGUUUGACCAGAACCUCUCCAUUGACGGAAAAAGUCUGACAGAUGACUCGGCCACGCUGGGUAGUCUGGGCGUCAUCCCGGAAAGCAUUAUCUGUCUAAAGGCUGAUGAGCCAAUAGCAGACUAUGAUGCAAUGGAUGAUGUCUAUCAAGGUGAAUGCUGUCAUCUUUACCUCCAAUACAUUACAUUAACUUUGUUUAAAAAAAGGUAAAUUAUGAUAACACUGUUUCUCAACUACUUCCUUCACAGUGAGUAUGCCUGAGGAGGGAUUUAAAGGCACUGGGCUUCUCGGGCACUGAGGAAAGCUGUGCUGUAGCUAUGCUUGAAUGGGACGGAUGACCGAUGGAUAUUAAAAAAAAAGAAGCUUGAAUUUGUCAAGUGUCCAUAUAUAAAUAAAUAAGUGCUUUAAUUUGUUUUUUUUACGUUUUAAGUAGGCUUCCUUUAAUAAAACUGUGACCGUGUUGCAAAGCUGCUGUUUUGCUCUACAUAAAGUUAGCUGGCCUUUGAUAUUUAAAAUUCCUAAUCAUUCUGAAGAACUGCGUGGCAGUGCUUCUACCUGACUAAUAGAAUCUGGUUGAGGAAGCUAAGUGGAUCUGUUCUACUCUUACUCAAGAAAAUGGGCUUUGUUUUUGACUCUUUUAAAUUAUGGCAGAAAUAAAAAUUAAAGACAAUGUUCUUUCUUUCUAUUAUGUGGAAGCUUGUGUUCUCACUUCAAAGUUUUCAGAUUUGUCGAAAGAAUGCACGAGUAACUGUUAAGUAUUACAAAUAUAUCUGCUCUUAAAUGUUAGAACAUUUAUUACCUCUACAGCAAAUCUAUAUCCAUAUACUCAUGUGGCAUUUAGAGAUACAUAGCUACACGGUAUGUAUAGAAGCUGAUUCCUGCAGAAGGUUCAGCAGUGCAAACCCCAGAGUUGGAAGUGAGAAAUGGAAUGCAAGCAGUGAUAUGUGCUGUUCUUUUCACUGUUAUUUCUUAUGGACAAUAAAGUUAUUUUCAAAGCA